rnacentral:rRNA from 1 species
AACGAACGCUGGCGGCAGGCUUAACACAUGCAAGUCGAGCGCCCCGCAAGGGGAGCGGCAGACGGGUGAGUAACGCGUGGGAAUCUACCCGUCUCUACGGAAUAACGCAUGGAAACGUGUGCUAAUACCGUAUACGUCCUUCGGGAGAAAGAUUUAUCGGAGAGGGAUGAGCCCGCGUUGGAUUAGCUGGUUGGUGGGGUAAAGGCCUACCAAGGCGACGAUCCAUAGCUGGUCUGAGAGGAUGAUCAGCCACACUGGGACUGAGACACGGCCCAGACUCCUACGGGAGGCAGCAGUGGGGAAUAUUGGACAAUGGGCGCAAGCCUGAUCCAGCCAUGCCGCGUGAGUGAUGAAGGCCCUAGGGUUGUAAAGCUCUUUCACCGGUGAAGAUAAUGACGGUAACCGGAGAAGAAGCCCCGGCUAACUUCGUGCCAGCCGCCGCGGUAAUAC